rnacentral:rRNA from 1 species
AUUGAACGCUGGCGGCAUGCUUUACACAUGCAAGUCGAACGGCAGCGCGGGCUUCGGCCUGGCGGCGAGUGGCGAACGGGUGAGUAAUGCAUCGGAACGUGCCCAGUAGUGGGGGAUAGCCCGGCGAAAGCCGGAUUAAUACCGCAUACGACCUGAGGGUGAAAGCGGGGGACCGAAAGGCCUCGCGCUAUUUGAGCGGCCGAUGUCGGAUUAGCUAGUUGGUGGGGUAAAGGCUUACCAAGGCGACGAUCCGUAGCUGGUCUGAGAGGACGACCAGCCACACUGGGACUGAGACACGGCCCAGACUCCUACGGGAGGCAGCAGUGGGGAAUUUUGGACAAUGGGGGCAACCCUGAUCCAGCCAUGCCGCGUGAGGGAAGAAGGCCUUCGGGUUGUAAACCGCUUUUGUUCGGGAAGAAAUCCUCUGGGCUAAUACCCCGGGGGGAUGACGGUACCGGAAGAAUAAGCACCGGCUAACUACGUG